rnacentral:rRNA from 1 species
GGACUACUGGGGUUUCUAAUCCUGUUCGCUCCCCACGCUCUCGCGCCUCAGCGUCAGUAUGAUGCCAGGUGGCUGCCUUCGCCAUUGACGUUCCUUCCGAUCUCUACGCAUUUCACCGCUACACCGGAAAUUCCACCACCCUCUCAUCUACUCCAGUUAGUUGGUUUGCGAUGCGCUUCCCAGGUUAAGCCCGGGGCUUUCACAUCACACCCUCCUUACCGCCUACGCGCCCUUUACGCCCAGUAACUCCGAUUAACGCUCGCACCCUCUGUAUUACCGCGGCUGCUGGCAC